rnacentral:ncRNA from 1 species
CUCAACCCAGGUCUGUGGUUGCGGGCGGCGCAGGUCGCCCCAGUCCAUGCCAGACGAGGGCAAAGGGAUCCACGUAAGCACGGGCGCGCGCGUCCGUGCGAGCAUGGCUCGUCCUAGAGGUAAGCCGCACCGCCCGUCAUACGCAUGAGGCAUCCGGCCUCGCGGGCGAGAGGGGCUCAAGUGGCGGCGCCGCGGUGCCGGAAGCGAAGCCCCCGGUGCGCGAGUGUGGGGUCAAAGACCAGGUCAGCUGGGUGAG